AAGCGGCGCGUCCCGCGGCCGCGUGACCGCUCCCUCCCGGAAGUGCGGCGGGAGCGGGGCCGUGCGGGAGCCGGGAGGUGCCGAGCGCGGGGCGGGCACGGCCGGGAGCAGCGGGACUCGGCGCGGGCAGCGAUGCGGCUCCGCCGCCGCCCGGGCUCGCCGCCUUCGCCUCCCGCCGGGCGCCGGUGACCGUCACAGCGUCCCCGCCCCGGCGGAAUGAGCCCCGCCGCGCCGCCCCGCCAGCGCCGCGAUCCGGAGAAUUACUGAAGCUUGGAUUGCUCUCUUGAUACUAUAAACCUGCAAUAAGUGGCAAUGUCAAGGGUUCCCACCCCACCUCCUCCUGGGGAGAUGUCCAGUGGACCUGUGGCUGAAAGCUGGUGUUACACCCAGGUUAAAGUAGUAAAAUUUUCAUACAUGUGGACCAUUAAUAACUUCAGUUUUUGCCGUGAAGAAAUGGGUGAAGUUUUAAAGAGUUCUACAUUUUCAUCAGGGCCAAAUGACAAAAUGAAGUGGUGCCUGAGAGUGAAUCCAAAGGGAUUAGACGAUGAAAGCAAAGACUACUUGUCAUUGUAUUUGCUUUUAGUCAGUUGUCCAAAAAGUGAAGUCAGAGCAAAAUUCAAAUUUUCCUUGCUGAAUGCUAAAAGAGAAGAAACAAAAGCAAUGGAAAGCCAAAGAGCAUAUCGAUUUGUGCAAGGCAAGGACUGGGGGUUUAAGAAGUUUAUCCGAAGAGAUUUUUUGCUAGAUGAAGCUAAUGGUCUUCUACCAGAUGACAAGCUUACAUUAUUUUGUGAGGUAAGCGUGGUCCAAGACUCAGUAAAUAUAUCAGGACAGUCUAAUACAAACACUUUGAAGGUACCUGAAUGUCGACUAGCAGAAGAUUUAGGGAAUCUCUGGGAAACAACAAGAUUUACAGAUUGCAGUUUUUAUGUAGGAGGACAAGAAUUCAAAGCUCAUAAAUCUGUCCUUGCAGCACGAUCUCCAGUUUUUAAUGCAAUGUUUGAACAUGAAAUGGAGGAAAGCAAAAAGAAUCGUGUAGAAAUAAAUGAUGUAGACCCUGAAGUUUUUAAAGAAAUGAUGAGAUUCAUUUACACAGGAAAAGCACCAAACCUUGAAAAAAUGGCUGACAAUUUGUUGGCAGCUGCAGACAAAUAUGCACUGGAACGGCUGAAGGUGAUGUGUGAGGAAGCACUCUGUAGUAACCUCUCGGUAGAAAAUGUUGCUGACAUUCUUAUCCUCGCAGAUUUGCACAGCGCUGAACAGCUAAAAGCACAAGCAAUAGACUUUAUUAACAGGUGCAGUGUUCUUAGACAACUUGGGUGUAAAGAUGGGAAAAACUGGAAUAGCAAGUAAGUUUCCCUGCCCCACGAUGUUCUGUACAAACACUGCUAAGUAGACUGCAGAUCUUAAGAACUGUUGCUUCAUUUCCACACUACUGAGGCCUGUCACUGACUCCAAGCAACAGACAUAAUGGAAACUGCAGGCUGGAAGUCCAUGAUCCACUCCCACCCUCACUUAGUAGCCGAGGCCUUUCGCGCUCUGGCGUCUGCACAGUGUCCACAGUUUGGCAUUCCACGCAAACGGCUAAAACAGUCCUGAAAUCUUCCAUGAACUCUAGAGAAAUUGGACUGACUCCACUCCUCCUUGUCCAGAGGUGUUUUCACAAACCAUAACAAGAGUUUUUGUUAUCCUUGUCCACAGAACAGAAGCUGAAAAAGCCUAUUGUUUGCUUUUCAGAUGGAUAAUUUAUGGUUUAAUCCUCAGCUUUAAAUUAGACUGAUUACUCUAAUUCACUGAAAGGCCUUAAAUUAUCUUCAAUGACUCUCUAGUCCAUAUAGUCUAAUGUAUCUUGAUUUUUUUAUUAUUAUUUUUUAACGUGCCUUGUCUUUUUGACUAGGCUCUGCAGGAUUGCACUAGCUCCAUAAUGCAGUAAAGUUGAUAACUGAAGAUUAAUUUUUGAAAGGGAUCUUCCAUUAUUUUCAGAAGAAAAAAGAAAAAGAUUAUAGUUUGGUCCUGUGCUAACUGGAAGGUUUUGGCUGGCCUCUCAUUAAAAGCACUUGAACCAGAGGCACAUCAUGUACCCUAGGCAAGUGCUAAAUAUAGGGAGAGCCUGUUUACCUUCAGCAAAUGCCCACAGGCUAUUUAUGGCAAUAUACUGCUUUGAACAUAAUUUAUUUUUCAUUGUGGGGGCAAAUAUGCAAUGGUUUGGCCCAAAAAUGUAUUUUCAUUACAGUUUGUAAUGCUUAUUGUGUGUGUGUCAAAGCUGUCCGAGCGGUGAAGAGAAACACAGAAUAAACCUUUUUGCUUGUGUUUCUUUACGGUCCAUCAUUAGUUUACAUUUAAUGCAGAACUGAACGAGAGGUAAAAGAGCUCAAUGUGAAAAGGAAUAGUGUUGUAUAUGGAAUAAAUAUAUCCCAGUGUGUGGUUGCAUAGAAAAGUCAAGGAUGCAUAGAAUGACCAAAUGUAAAUUGAGGAAAUGGGCCAAAUGGAUUUUGAAUAUGCACUUUUAAUGUGUAACUUUUGUAUGUUGUGUGGUACAUAUAUAUUUUGCUUUUGAUGAAUCAAUGAGGUACAGGUAAUUGUGGCUUAACUUUUUAGAUACCUUUUAAGAUGCCCACAGCCACAUGGGAUUUAGUUUUGUUAGAAAAGAAAGGCAUGUCUUUUUAAGACUCAGUUGAAGGUGGCUAUUGCGAGCUUUCAUAUUUAAGUAACAAAAUAUUUUCGCUCAUUUGAAAAAGGCAUGUGAAUGGUAAAAACUUUGAGGGGAUUUUUCCCAUCUUGACGUACAUGCAUGGCUCCCACAAACACCUGGGGAGGCUGUGCACGCAUCCAGGAGUAUUUCCCUGAAAUGUCAGAUGGUAUCUGCAAGCAGAGACUUGCUCAGCCUUGCAUUUCAGUUAUUGUACUAGCAUUGUGGAUGGUAUUGAAAUUCUGCAUAAUGUGGAUGGUAUUGAAAUUCUGCAUAAUGUGAAAAGGAUGAAACAUUUGUAAACUGCUUGUCAUGGGCCAGUUCUUUACUAUAUGAACCUUAGCUUUAAUAUCAACAUCCUCAGUGUUUGAUAGCUUUGUUUACAAUUGGGAGGAAAAGUCUGCAGUAGUGCACACUCUAAAUGUUCCCUGAGUUAUUGCAUUGAGUUUACUGUAAUAGUGAUAAUAUGCUGUAUUUCUUUUUUUUGGGGGGAAGAUUUGGGUUUUACAGUGGGGAAUGGGAGGAGAUCUCACCUAAUUUAUAAAGAACUUUGCGUAAGGGUUUGAGUUUGCCUAUUAAAAAAAGUCAUGCAGGGAAAAGAGGGGAAGAAUUUCAGAUUGUUUCUCCAUCCUCAUUUCAUUGAGAUUCAUCUGACUUGCUCUGAAUGAAAUUUUUAGAGGAAAGAAUAUAUAAUUUUAUACUUUGGCAUCUAGUAAACCCCUUGCAAAGGUAAAUUGGAAAAAAAUGCUGAGUCCAAUUUUGAAGACUAAAACCUGUAAACAUGAUUUUUUUUCUUACCCUCUAGCUAAAUCUUUAUAAUGGCUAAAGUGUAAAAUCAGAAAUUUUAAUAAUACACAAGGCAUCAAAUUAUAUAUUUACAGAGAUUUAUCAAUUUUUAAAUAUUUAUCUAAGAUAAGGUCUCACAAGCAUUCUCCACAACAGGAGGUGAAGGUGUUUAUUCCAAAAUCAUGUUUUUGCUGCACUGUGUAACGUGUUGGGACUACAGCUCCUCAUCCUCAUCACUGUAAAGCUCACAGCGCUCACGUGCAAAGUGACUUGAAUAUUUAAUGCUGUAAUGAUUGCCCAGGUCAGCCUGUUCUAAAGUAACAACUUACAGUAAUCAGAUGGAAAGCUUAAGGAUUGCUAGAAUUAUUUUUUUUUAAAGCCUAAUAGCACACUUUGUACCAAAAAAAUGUCAGACACUGUGCUGUGGUAUCGUCUGCAUCAUAGAGUGUCCCCUCCUUGAGCCAGGCAGUGUGUUACACCAACAGGAAAGGGCCCUCUGCUGAUCCAUCUGGUUGGAUUGGACUUUAUUUAUUUAAGUUAUCAAGUUCUGACAGAUCUUGAGAAAAAGGUAAAGCAGUUGCUGUAUUCUUAAGUGAGUGCACUAAUUAUUCACCUCUUUAAUUACCUACAUGCAGUGUUCUCACUGGAACGGGACAUUGAUAAUUACCACCUUCCCCUUUGGAUUCAGUAGCUUGGUUUCAUUCCCCACAUCUCAAGAAGUUGCCCUUAAAGCUUCAGUUGGAAGUGCAGCAGAUCAGGAAUAAUCAGUGGUCAGGUUUUUCCAGGCUGAAGUCCUGGGGGUUUUUCCUGGUUUUCCCUCCAGGUUAGGAAUAUGCCGUAUGAAGGUGCCAUGUUUUGGCUUGCCAACACUACUCUCUCAUAGAUGUGAACCACCACUUCUGUGCUUUUCUGGGGAGAACCCUGCAUGUGUCCUGUGUGUGUGCGUGUGUGUGUGUGUGUGACUGUGUGGUGUUUUUUGUCAAGGGUGACUUUCUAAAAAUAAGGACUCAAUUUGCUGUUAAAAUGCUAUUAUGUAUUAUAUAUAUUUUUAUUUUUUUUUCUCCAUUCAAACCUCUCCUAAGGAGAUGCUUUGGGUGGAAGUUGCUUCAAUAAAUAAUCCUUAUUUCCUAGUCCAUUUACUGCAUGCAGAAGUAUGAACACAUUGUGCCUUUAUAGGAAACUGUUGCAAUGAAGGGAUGAUUUAACAGGGUGCAAGGUCUUUGUAAAAGGUAUUUUUAAAGGUGAAGAAGAAUACUCUUUGGUACACAAUUGAGAUGGAAAAGUUCAAGUUGCAUUUGACCUCUGUUGCAUGUUGAUUCUUGCUUCCUAAAUUCAAUUUCACCGAGGUACAAACUACACAAACAAGUGGAAUAAGUAUCACAGAUACAAGUUGAGUAAUGGUAUAUUUUUGUGAAAUUGUGAUAAUAUUUGCUGUUACAAGGUAAGUGUAUGUCAAAACGUGAUAAUCAUGGACACAAGGUUACUCUAGUUCUGAUGUUUUUCUACACAUUGAGUAUUUAGUAUAAGAUUCACCUUUGCACAGGAGAUCAGUAGAGGAUCUACACGGAGAUUGUGUUCCUUUUAAAUCCUCACAGCAAGGCUUCUCCUUUGGGGGAAUCAAAGCCAUGUGCAGUAUUUGAAACUGUGUUUCAUAGAAGGCAGUGAAUUGCAGACGUGAGGUACUGCUACCUGAAAUGUUGUCGAAUUCUGUUGAAUUUUACAGUUGAUUAAAAUUCCUAAGCUUAAUUGCUUUUUUUUUUUUUUUUUUUUUUUUGUAAUUGACAAAUGGAAUGUUACCUGUCCUCUGUCUGUUGUCAAUAGUGUAUUUAGUGCAGAGCUUAGCUCCUUAGCUAGCCAAGACACUUAGUCUCAUAACUUGGCUUCUGCUUACAGUAAAUGGACUAUGUUUGUAAAGGGAAUUCACUAUUUCAAGUGUUUUGCAAGGAACUUCACUGUAUUUGUAACCUGGUUUUUGAAGGCUUGAGAUCAAUGAGUCCUAUUUUAGAAGUUAAACCAGUGAAAUGACUUGGACCUGUUUUGGGGUGGAAAUGAUAAAGAGAAUUCAGAUAUGUAAACAGUCGUAUCAAACCAUCCAGCCUUUUUUUAUCAGCUGAUGUUAAUGGUGAAAUACUUUUUGUACCUUGUUGCUGAAAAUAUUUUUGCGUUUCAGCACAUCAAGUUACAAUAAAGUUGUUACUUAUA